rnacentral:rRNA from 1 species
GGGGGGGGGGGGGGGGGGGGGGGGGGGGGGGGGGGGGGGCGGGGGGGCCCGGGGUGGGUGGGGUGCUCGAGUGGCGAACGGGUGAGUAACACGUGAGUAACCUGCCCUUGACUUUGGGAUAACUUCAGGAAACUGGGGCUAAUACCGGAUAGGAGCUCCUGCUGCAUGGUGGGGGUUGGAAAGUUUCGGCGGUUGGGGAUGGACUCGCGGCUUAUCAGCUUGUUGGUGGGGUAGUGGCUUACCAAGGCUUUGACGGGUAGCCGGCCUGAGAGGGUGACCGGCCACAUUGGGACUGAGAUACGGCCCAGACUCCUACGGGAGGCAGCAGUGGGGAAUAUUGCACAAUGGGCGGAAGCCUGAUGCAGCAACGCCGCGUGCGGGAUGACGGCCUUCGGGUUGUAAACCGCUUUCGCCUGUGACGAAGCGUGAGUGACGGUAAUGGGUAAAGAAGCACCGGCUAACUACGUG